GGUGAUUCGCCGCUUCACCUUCAACGCAUUCAUUUACAAUGCUUCAAUUUGUACAGCUCUUUACAAUCUCGACCUAGUUCCCUACGAAAUCUGGCUCUUUUUCAUUAAAAACGUCGCACUAAACUGGAAGAUAAAGAAUAAAACCAAUAUGGUGAUAUAAAGGACAUUGAACAGUGGAAUAUAUAAAAAAAAUUUGAAUUUCCUCCAAUCUUAACCUCAAGCUAAUCAUUAUUAAUUUAGUAGUUAAUUAUAUAUAUUGGUAAAUAUUUACGUUAAUGAUAAAAUAUGGAUAAUUUAUCAUUUACAAUGAUGGAGAAAUGACAACAUUUAAAUGUAUGUAGAACAUAUCCUAUUAUUCGAUGUACACACAUAUAGUAAAAUCUUUUUUAACGGUUCUUCUUCGACAGAUUCAGGAACACAUAAUAUUUAAUUUAGUCUUCUAAAUAAUCUGUAAUCUAAUUGAAUAUAGUAGUUUUUCAAUACAACUAAUACUCCAGGCUACGCAUAAUCGUCAUUAUUUAAAUAUUUUCUACACAAAAAUGUUUUGAGGGGUUACUUCUCAUCGCUUUAAGAGAGUUUCAUUUUUCGGAACGGCAUCUAUUGAUAUUUUUUCUUAAUUUCUACUAUAAAAUGAUUUGUGUUUGACGUCUUCUUCCUCUUAAUUUAUUAAAAAAAUAUUAGCUAAGAUAUAUAAUUUUCCACGAUUUGUUUUUUGUUAGAUCCUCGCUCUUACAAGAUUCUUGUUCGAACCAUUGCUUCUAAUAGUGAGAUAUUCUAUAAACUAGAUAAACUAGACUUACAUCUUUCUCAUCAUACGCAAUUAUUAUUGGUUUUAUGAAA